AAGAAGAAGACAUCUGGCAAUAUUCGUGAAAGGGUAUUUGAGGAAGCCUUGAACAGACUGGUGGGUGAGGCCACUCCUCGGGACGCAGACACUGCCUUCGGCGAAGCUGUGGCGGCCAGCAUAAGGGACCUGGAUCAGUUAAGAAAGGACAUGGUCAAGGCUAAAGUAAUGGAACUGAUAUUUCAGCUAAAACAUAAUGUGCAAGUCAUCCACCAAGCUACAUAAUGUUAUUUAUUCUUCGGUGCAUACCAACUGUGGAAACAUGGGGUACAGUGAAUCAUGUGGAAGCAUUCUACAACACAAAUAUCUGCAGGAACGCUGCCUUCAUGCACGAAGUAAUCCUGCAGCUCAUCCCUGACCUGGCAGGCCUCCGUCGACGCAUGCAUGCCACGGUGCUGAAAUGGCUCCAGACACCCUCGGCCUGACGCAGUGUCCUGCAGUACUGGCGUGUUGCUGUCCUGCAUCACUUCAUGUGCUUUCAGGAAAUUGUGCACAGAACAGGAGGCCAGCACAAGCUUGGUUGCAUUCCCUGGUGUUGCUUGUAUGCGCUUCUGGAGUAUCCUGAAUUUCUGGGACAGCGUGCCGAAGUAGCACUCUACCAUCCUUCUUGCUGUAGAGUGCCUGUGUAAAGUAUGCCACAAUGACAAUUACUUCGCUAUUGUAUCCCUUUAUAUGUGUCUUAAGAUGUACCUAUAGUUGUACACUAGUUGUCCGUGUGUCAUGCUGUUGCCCCCGUAUGGCCGCAUUACAUUGCAGGUUAAUGAAAAUGCUCCAUCCCCAAGGAAUACGUAGGGCAAUGGCAUUUGCCUCCCUGGAACAUAUAUCAUUUAUAAAUUGAUUUCAUGCAAGGAA